ACGGGAGGCAGCAGUGGGGAAUAUUGGACAAUGGGCGCAAGCCUGAUCCAGCCAUGCCGCGUGAGUGAUGAAGGCCCUAGGGUUGUAAAGCUCUUUCGCACGCGACGAUAAUGACGGUAGCGUGAGAAGAAGCCCCGGCUAACUUCGUGCCAGCAGCCGCGGUAAUACGAAGGGGGCUAGCGUUGCUCGGAAUCACUGGGCGUAAAGGGCGCGUAGGCGGCCGUUCAAGUCGGGGGUGAAAGCCUGUGGCUCAACCACAGAAUUGCCUUCGAUACUGGAUGGCUCGAGACCGGAAGAGGUUGGUGGAACUGCGAGUGUAGAGGUGAAAUUCGUAGAUAUUCGCAAGAACACCAGUGGCGAAGGCGGCCAACUGGUCCGGUUCUGACGCUGAGGCGCGAAAGCGUGGGGAGCAAACAGGAUUAGAUACCCUGGUA
rnacentral:rRNA from 1 species